rnacentral:tRNA from 1 species
UCCCUGGUGGUCCAAUGGUCAAGACUCCAUGCUUCCAAUGCAUGGGGUGUGGGUUCAAUCCCAGUUCAGGGAA